UACGGAGGGUGCGAGCGUUGUCCGGAAUUACUGGGCGUAAAGCGUGCGUAGGUGGUUCGUUAAGUCUGAUGUGAAAGCCCUGGGCUCAACCUGGGAAUGGCAUUGGAAACUGGCGACCUAGAGUGCGGUAGAGGGUAGUGGAAUUCCCGGUGUAGCAGUGAAAUGCGUAGAGAUCGGGAGGAACAUCCGUGGCGAAGGCGACUACCUGGACCAGCACUGACACUGAGGCACGAAAGCGUGGGGAGCAAACAGG
rnacentral:rRNA from 1 species